rnacentral:rRNA from 1 species
GGUAACGGCCCACCAAGGCGAUGACGGGUAGCUGGUCUGAGAGGACGACCAGCCACACUGGAACUGAGACACGGUCCAGACACCUACGGGUGGCAGCAGUCGAGAAUUUUUCACAAUGGGGGAGACCCUGAUGGAGCGACGCCGCGUGGGGGAUGAAUGGCUUCGGCCCGUAAACCCCUGUCAUUUGUGAACAAACCUUUUCACUGAACAAGUGGAAAGCUGAUAGUAACGGAAGAGGAAGGGACGGCUAACUCUGUGCCAGCAGCCGCGGUAAUACAGAGGUCCCAAGCGUUGUUCGGAUUCACUGGGCGUAAAGGGUGCGUAGGUGGCCGGGUAAGUCUGAUGUGAAAUCUCGGAGCUCAACUCCGGAACGGCAUUGGAUACUAUCCGGCUGGAGGGUCGGAGGGGGGACUGGAAUUCUCGGUGUAGCAGUGAAAUGCGUAGAUAUCGAGAGGAACACCAGUGGCGAAGGCGAGUCCCUGGACGACUCCUGACACUGAGGCACGAAAGCUAGGGGAGCAAACAGGAUUAGAUACCCUGGUAGUCCUAGCUAUAAACGGUGCAUAUUUGCUGUAAAAGGAAUCGACCCCUUUUGUGGCGAAGCUAACGCGUUAAAUA